UACGUAGGUGACAAGCGUUGUCCGGAUUUACUGGGCGUAAAGAGCGCGCAGGCGGUCGUUCAAGUCGAGUGUGAAAGCCCCCGGCUCAACUGGGGAGGGUCAUUCGAUACUGGUCGACUCGAAGGCAGGAGAGGGAAGUGGAAUUCCCGGUGUAGUGGUGAAAUGCGUAGAUAUCGGGAGGAACACCAGUGGCGAAGGCGACUUCCUGGCCUGUUCUUGACGCUGAGGCGCGAAAGCUAGGGGAGCAAACGGG
rnacentral:rRNA from 1 species